rnacentral:tRNA from 1 species
GGGGGGAUACCAAAGCGGUCAACUGGGGCAGACUGUAAAUCUGUUGGCGAAGCCUUCGCAGGUUCGAAUCCUGCUCCCCCCA